UACAGAGGGUGCAAGCGUUAAUCGGAAUUACUGGGCGUAAAGGGCGCGUAGGCGGUCAGGUCAGUCGGAUGUGAAAUCCCCGGGCUCAACCUGGGAAUUGCAUUCGAUACUGCCUGGCUAGAGUGUGGAAGAGGGAAGCGGAAUUUCCGGUGUAGCGGUGAAAUGCGUAGAUAUCGGAAGGAACACCAGUGGCGAAGGCGGCUUCCUGGUCCAACACUGACGCUGAGGCGCGAAAGCGUGGGGAGCGAACAGG
rnacentral:rRNA from 1 species